AUUUCAGCAGUAGCACUGUGACAGACCGCUGGCACACACGACUGAGUACCUCCGCCAAUCUAUGCUCCUAGCGCUUGCCGAGGACUCAGAGCACGCCAACCGACACCAUCAGCACUGCGGACCCCACUUCCAGUGAUGCAGCUGCGCAGGGAUCCAGUUCCCAGUGGGUGAACCUCUCCUAAAGGAAAGCGUAGCGGAACAAAUCAAGCCCUUACAAGAGCUUACUCUGGUAUCCAUUACCCGAAGC